CCUACGGGAGGCAGCAGUGGGGAAUAUUGGGCAAUGGGCGAAAGCCUGACCCAGCAACGCCGCGUGAAGGAAGAAGGCUUUCGGGUUGUAAACUUCUUUUGACAGGGAAGAGCAGAAGACGGUACCUGUCGACUAAGCCACGGCUAACUACGUGCCAGCAGCCGCGUUAAUACGUAGGUGGCAAGCUUGGUCCGGCUUUACUGGGUGAAAAGGGCGUGGGGCCGGGCAUACAAGUCAGAUGGGAAAUCCGAGGGGUCAACCCCCGAACUGCCUUUGAUACUGUUGGUCUUGAGUAGCGGAGAGGUAGGCGGAAUUCCUAGUGUAGCGGUGAAAUGCGUAGAGAUUAGGAGGAACACCAGUGGCGAAGGCGGCCUGCUGGACGACAACUGACGGUGAGGCGCGAAAGCGUGGGGAGCAAACAGGAUUAGAUACCCGAGUAGUC
rnacentral:rRNA from 1 species